rnacentral:rRNA from 1 species
AGAGUUUGAUCCUGGCUCAGGAUGAACGCUGGCGGCGUGCUUAACACAUGCAAGUCGAACGAUUAAAGCCCCUUCGGGGGUGUAUAGAGUGGCGAACGGGUGAGUAACACGUGGGCAACCUGCCCCUCACUUCGGGAUAACUCAGGGAAACCUGUGCUAAUACCGGAUACUCCGAGAUGGUCGCAUGGCUGACUCGGGAAAGCUCCGACGGUGAGGGAUGGGCCCGCGGCCCAUUAGCUUGUUGGUGAGGUAAUGGCUCACCAAGGCGACGAUGGGUAGCCGAGCUGAGAGGCUGAUCGGCCACACUGGGACUGAGACACGGCCCAGACUCCUACGGGAGGCAGCAGUGGGGAAUCUUGCGCAAUGGGCGAAAGCCUGACGCAGCAACGCCGCGUGCGGGAUGAAGGCCUUCGGGUCGUAAACCGCUUUCAGCAGGGAUGAAACUGACAGUACCUGCAGAAGAAGCCCCGGCUAACUACGUGCCAGCAGCCGCGGUAAUACGUAGGGGGCAAGCGUUAUCCGGAUUCAUUGGGCGUAAAGCGCGCGUAGGCGGCUUGUUAAGCGAGAUGUGAAAACCGGGGGCUCAACCCGCGGCCUGCAUCUCGAACUGGCAGGCUUGAGUCUGGUAGAGGAAAGUGGAAUUCCCAGUGUAGCGGUGAAAUGCGCAGAUAUUGGGAGGAACACCAGUGGCGAAGGCGGCUUUCUGGGCCACGACUGACGCUGAGGCGCGAAAGCUAGGGGAGCAAACAGGAUUAGAUACCCUGGUAGUCCUAGCCGUAAACGAUGGGCACUAGGUGUGGGGGGUUAUCAACUCCCUCCGUGCCGCAGCUAACGCAUUAAGUGCCCCGCCUGGGGAGUACGGCCGCAAGGCUAAAACUCAAA